GCCUGGGUGGCUCAGUUGGUUGAGCAUCUGACUUUAGCUCAGGUCAUGAUCUCCCAUCUCGUGAGUUCGAGCCCCACAUUGGGUU
rnacentral:tRNA from 1 species